GAUGAACGCUGGCGGCGUGCCUAAUACAUGCAAGUCGAGCGAACGGACGAGAAGCUUGCUUCUCUGAUGUUAGCGGCGGACGGGUGAGUAACACGUGGAUAACCUACCUAUAAGACUGGGAUAACUUCGGGAAACCGGAGCUAAUACCGGAUAAUAUUUUGAACCGCAUGGUUCAAAAGUGAAAGACGGUUUUGCUGUCACUUAUAGAUGGAUCCGCGCUGCAUUAGCUAGUUGGUAAGGUAACGGCUUACCAAGGCAACGAUGCAUAGCCGACCUGAGAGGGUGAUCGGCCACACUGGAACUGAGACACGGUCCAGACUCCUACGGGAGGCAGCAGUAGGGAAUAUUCCGCAAUGGGCGAAAGCCUGACGGAGCAACGCCGCGUGAGUGAUGAAGGUCUUCGGAUCGUAAAACUCUGUUAUUAGGGAAGAACAUAUGUGUAAGUAACUGUGCACGUCUUGACGGUACCUAAUCAGAAAGCCACGGCUAACUACGUG
rnacentral:rRNA from 1 species